UGCAUGUGUAAGUAUAAGCGAUUGUACUGUGAGACUGCGAACGGCUCAUUAUAUCAGUAAUAAUUUCUUCUUUCUUUUAUAUGGAUACCUGCAGUAAUUCUGGAAAUAAUACAUGCUGUAAGAGCCCUGUAUGGGGCUGCACUUAUUAGAUUGAAGCCGAUUUUAUUGGUGAAUCAUGAUAAUUGAGCAGAUUGACUUUUUUGGUCGAUGAAUCGUUUGAGUUUCUGCCCCAUCAGUUGUCGACGGUAGUGUAUUGGACUACGGUGACUAUAACGGGGGACGGAAAGUUAGGGCCGACUCCGGAAAGGGAGCCUGAAAAACGGCUACCAUAUCCAAGGAUAGCAGCAGGCGCGUAAAUUACCCACUGGGGACUCCACGAGGUAGUGACAAGAAAUAUCGAUGCGAAGCGGGUAGCGUUUUGCUAUCGGAAUGAAAGCAAUGUAAAACCCUCAUCGAGGAUCAACUGGAGGGCAAGUCUGGUGCCAGCAGCCGCGGUAAUUCCAGCUCCAAAAGCAUAUGCUAAAGUUGUUGCAGUUAAAAAGCUCGUAGUUGAAUUUCUGGCAUGGGCGACCGGUGCUUUCCCUGAAUGGGGAUUGAUUGUCUGUG
rnacentral:rRNA from 1 species